AUUGGUUGGACCAGAUGUGCCAUUUGC
rnacentral:piRNA from 1 species